ACUGCACUAACUUUGACAUAUUCUGACCAAGGAUAAAAGAAAUGUUGAAACCUACCAUGGGGUGGUUCCCAUUUAGCUGAAAUGGCCUGUGGUAAUCAAACAAAAUAAAUGUUCAUCCAGGGAGUCCUCCAUGACAGUCUUUGUGAACUUAGGAUGUUCUGAUCCAUCAUCGUCUAUGGCCAGGAUUCCUGCUAGCAAGCUUCCCAGUGCUCUGUUGAAUCCUCUAUUAAAUGUGGCACCUCCACAGACAUAAUUCAGAAGUUUGUUACAUGAGGAUCUCUAUCAAGUUGCACAAUGCCAGCAGAUGGAAUAUGUUUCAUUCCUCCAACAGUUAUUUCUUUUACACAAGGGUAUGGCCUUCUCCCUUUCUUCCAACAUAAAUCAUACGAGUUUUGUGUCUAUGCGCUCUAUUUUCACUAUAUUAAUUUUGUGUAUCUUCAUGUAAAGCAACUCUUCUUUCCAUAAUGUUCUGUUUCUUUGUUGGUGUUCAUUAUUGAUACAUGCUUCAAAAAAUCCAGUAAUUAUUGGAGUAGAGCACAUAUUCAGCAAUACUUUGAUAAUGAAGUCGGUUAUUUGUUUAAGCCUGCUGCGAUCAUGGUGAUGGAACCACUGAGGUAGAAAUGAUUUUGACAAGAGGGACAAAAAUAAUAAGAACAUAGCUUGCACUUCACUACUUAUGGAGGUAUUGGUCACUGUUUAUGAUUCUGCAUUUUAUUUUGUUGAUUGACAAAUAAAUGUCAACAUAUGAGGGUAUCAAAUAUAUUUGAUGAGGUUAAAUAUACCUUCUUUUUAUUGUUUGUGACUAACCACAUGGAACAUUAUAUACUGCUUUGUUAAGGGUCACCCCGGGUGCAGUCUGCAUCAGUUUCUUGAUUCAGAUUUAGCUAAAAUGAUGCACCUUAUACGCGGUUUGGGAGAAUGGGGAAUUUGAUUUCCAUCGAUGAUUUUUAGUCGACUACUGAUUGAAGAAAUUCAAAUGCAACCUUGCUGAUCAUCAUCCACAGGUUUUAAGUAUGUAGAUUACACAACUUUGUGUGUUUAGAGUGCGUAAACCUAAUUCGAUAACAACGCCCUCCAUCGGGUAUAUGCCAGAAUUGGAUGCUGGGAAGCAUCAAAUCUGCUGCAAUGUUGCAUGUUUUGAAGAUGCUAGAUUCCAUGCACAUUUUUUUUUUUUUUUUCAGCCUUACACCUGUAGGAUACUCUGUUCUUGCUUCUUCUGUAUUUGUAACUGUAUCUGUAGUUUCCAUUUUCAUUUCUAUCUUCUUCCAUUAUUCCCUUCUGGGCUUCCAUGGAAAUUUGUGGGUAUGAUCAAACA